rnacentral:lncRNA from 1 species
AAAAUUUAAACCCAGACCCGAAAUAGACCCUAAACCCGACGUAAACAAAUCCCCAAACCCGUCAACUAACCUAAAUGGAUCCUAACUUGGACCCAAUUGGCUAAACCCGGAUCACCAGGUCCAAAAUGCAACCGAAUGCCCCUAGCCCAAAACCAAAAAGAAUAGGAAACCCCUAGGGUUUCGGAAAUGGCACGAGCGCCGCAACAGUGACCUCCAACACUGCUCUCCCCAGCCACGCACACCUCCGUACGUGCCACGUCCACGCCUCCGUACACACUACGUCCC